UUUCAAUGAUCACAGCCUAAAUUCGCCGCUUCCUGCGGCAAUGUCUGUGUGACCCACAUCCUGUGGG
rnacentral:sRNA from 1 species